rnacentral:rRNA from 1 species
UACAGAGGUCUCAAGCGUUGUUCGGAUUCAUUGGGCGUAAAGGGUGCGUAGGCGGCGCGGUAAGUCGGGUGUGAAAAUCUCGGGGCUUAACUCCGAAACUGCAUUCGAUACUGGCGUGCUUGAGGACUGGAGAGGAGACUGGAAUUCAUGGUGUAGCAGUGAAAUGCGUAGAUAUCAGGAGGAAUACCGAUGGCGAAGGCAGGUCUCUGGGCUGAAACUGACGCUCAUGCACGAAAGCGUGGGGAGCAAACAGG